AGGUGCAUCGUGACCAUCCCGUCCUCGCCCCCGCUGCUCCCCCACUUCACCGGACAGACCCACAGCAGCCUCAAGCCGGAGCAGGAACAGCAGGACGGCCGCAGGCAGGGGACACGGGGACCCAUCCCCAGCCCCUGGGGUGCAGGGGGGCUCUGCCCCAGCCUUGGAGAGCUCUUCCCAGGGUGGGGGCAGGGGGUUCUGAGCAGGGCAGGGGCACAGAGAUGUGCUGCGAAGGGGCUGCUGUGCUUCCCCAGCUCUGUGGGGAUUUGCACCCCCCACACACACUGCCCCAGGUCUCAGUUUCAAGGGGGCUGAAGCCAUGUGUGAUGAGCUGUGUGUAGUCUCAGCCUGACCUGAGGCUUGGCUGGGGGGCGGUCAGGUGCCUCCUGUGAACCAAGUUGCCAAAAUGGGGCAGCCCAGCUCUCCUGCAUCCUGGUGUCCCUGGCGUGGGGUGGGCACCACCCUGGUGUCACAGGGUGAAGCACGGGGUGCCACGGUGACGGGCACUGAGCAUCCCCAUGUCCUGUCCUACAGGGAGCCACCAGCCCAGAUCAAGUACCCCACCGUGCCGCGGAGCUGCGGGGGCCAGCACACCAUCACCACCCCUCUCCAGCGCCUCCAGUGCCUCCGGACCCCCCAUCAACUCCAGCCCCUCCUGCUCCCCAACAAGGUAGGGAUGACUAAGACAGGGGUACAGCGGGGGGACUGAGGCUGGGAGAGGGAUGCUGAGCAUCUGGGAGGGUCUGUGCCUCAGUUUCCCCAGGGAGAGUUGGCUGUUGGGGGUGGUCCUUGGGGAUGCCGAGCUGGUGGCUCACCAGCACGUUCCCUCCUUCCCAGUACAACACGGAGGAUUUGUUGGCCAAGGACCAUCAAGGCCUCAGGGGCCGGAUCGGGGAGCUGCUGAGGGGCAGGGAAGAGCCACAGCCAGCAGAGCCCGAGGCGGGGGGGGCCAAUCACCACCACCCCCAGCCACCGGGGUCACCGCGGGACCGCUCCAGCAAACCCUCAGCCAGACUGCGCCACCUGCUCUUCAAAACGUGAUUUAUUACUAUUUAAUAACCGCCCCCCCCCCUCAACCUGUCUGGUGGGGGCACCACCUUGAAAAAUCACAGCCCCCAGUUCCGCUCCCCCCAGCCCUGGAGAGGAGCAACCAGAGGGAGGACGGGGUGAGGGGGGGGCUGGGGAGCCGGGCAAGAACCUGGAAUUUAAAAAGAUUAAAUCAAGAAUAAAAUAAGCAGGAAAAACAAAAACCAGAAGGGAAAUCCGGUGUUCUCUAAAAAUCUGAAGUUUAAUUCAGUACAAUUCAGUGAAUGGAACAUUCAUUUGAAAACACAAUCAAUACAUUAAAAAGUCUGAAGGACGAGGAGCAGUGGGAACAGAAAGAAAAAGGAAAAAAAAAAAAACCAAACCCCAAAAUUCAGACAACUUGGUCACCUGGGACAGCAGAGGGGACGCACGGGGCGACCUGGGACAAGGGCUCAGGAUUAUUUUUUUCGUGAGAAGGGAGAGUUUUUCCUCGAUUUUAAUUUCCCCCUUGGGCCCAGAGCAGGUUCUGGGCUGGCUGCCCCCCCUGGGGGGGAGGAGCCCCACGGGGAAGGGGCAGAGGAAAGGGAAAUGGGGCGCGGGUCCCAGCCCCCCGGGAACGUGCCCCCAGCCACCGGCCCAGCCCGGCCCCGCGCCGGCAACGGGGGCCAAACCCGAGCAGGGGAAGAGAAGAGAAGAAAGCACCAUCGGGUGAAGGGCUGGUUCAGUAAAAGACACAACAGUCGAGGCAGAGCCAAAGGCCUCAGCGGCAACCGCCGUCUCUGCUGGCGUUGGGGGGGAAGGAAGGGAAAAGAUUUGCUUUUGGCUGGAGGCUCUUACCUUUUCAGCAUUUAACUGCCUGUUUGCAUACCCCUGUCUGACCUUCUCCUCCUCUGCUCAGCUCCUCGCCGUGGCCGCCUGCAGGGACCCCAUUUCUGAAGCGGCCCUUGCCUUCCCAAUCCAGCACUCCAGGCACUGGGACUCCAGGAAGACCCUUUCCUGGUGCUGGAGGGGGGGGGGUGACACGGGGAUGGAGCUCCCAGGAUUAGACCUGGAAAGCCCUGGCUCAUCCCGUGGCAAUCCAGGCUCUGGCAAUCCUGCUUCAGCAGGGGAGUGGGACUAGAGGAGCUCCAUGGUCCCUUCCAACUCUAAAAGUUCAGUGAAAUUCAGUGACCCCAGGAUCAUCUCAAGAGCCAUCCUCAGCCCCGCAGCGGGUGAUGCCAACGGCCCGGCCAGGGAGCACCCAGGGGACAGGACAUUUGUCCCGGCUCCUAGAGCAUCCCCACGCUCCAUCCAACAGCAUCUCCUGCCCCAGGCUUGGAGAAAAGCCCCGGCUCUGGGUUAAAUAAUUGAAGCCCGUGGAAGGGAAAGCCCCCGCCAAAAGCUGCGGGUCUCUAGUUUCCAAGAGGGUCAGUGAUACUUCCAGGGGGAAAUCACCAAAACCAGCAAAUUCAGGCUAAAUCCAAAGCUUGGAGACAGAAACGGGAGCGGCCGCGUGUGACACGGAAGGAAGACAGAGAGGUCUCAGCGGUGAGUGCACAGAGCGCGUGUCGGGGACGGGACGGGGGUCCCCUGGCCCCGGGGACAAGGGAACAGCUCCUCAGAGGGGGGUGCCAGGAGCUGGGGGGGUCCCUCUGUCGCACGGGCAGCGGCAGCAGCAGCCAGAAUCGCCUUUUCUCCACCCAAACGCAAACCCACACCGCUGGGAAAGACGACGCACGCCAGUGAGAGAACAGCCCACAAGAGCUUCCCCGUGAGUAUAAAAGGCAAAACUAUACAAAAAUAGAGAAAAGCCACCAUUCUCUCCUGUGUAUAAAAACAAACAACAAAAAAGCCCAAGGUCCCCAAAAGGCAACACAGAAUCCCUGGGGAGACUGACCCCGACGGCGGCGGUUUCAGCGCAAACCAACGGCCAGGACUCAGCCCUGUGAGGCCAGACCUGCCCUGAAGGGACGUCUCCAGGCCGGUUCCUCCAGGGCAGGUUCUCCCCAACAGCUCGGCAGGACAAUCCCUCUUACUGACUCGUUACUGACUUGUAGGGCUUCUCUCUGCUUCGGGAGCCCUUUCCCAGCAAAAGUUCCCACCCCCCAGGUUGAGUCCCUCGGCUCGGGCGGUCUCUGACCCACGGCUCAUCCAGCCCCAGAGCAGAAGCUCUGUCCCUGUCCGUCCCGGGACAGACGGGGAUUUCAGGAAGAGCCGCCCCUUCGGCACCGACACCCAAUCUCUCCAGGGCAGGGACAACUUACAGCCUGGGACAGCCCAUGGAAACUUCUUAUUUCUUUGGGAUAACUUGGCGGGAUACGCCAAUGAUCCAGCAAAUUGGCUCCAAACACGCCUUUCAAAAACUCCUUUUACAUCCAGAGAGAUUUGCCUCGUUUAGUUCACAUCAAAUUAAGAGGAGAAAGCUUUGGUAUGGAGCCCGAUUCCCAAACCUGCCCUGGAUCGCUCUCCCCCUUCCGAGCCCAGGGGCUGUUUGCACCGAGCCUUCCCGGGAUGUCCCCAAACCCAAGGGGCUGUUCCUGGGGACGCGCGUCUCCAACUGAACAUUCAUCUGAGCACCGAGAGGCUCCCACCCCCCCCGAGACUUUGGCAAAGGCUGCCCCACGGCCAAACAAACGCUCCCCAAACUCCCCCGAACCCGCCAGAUGCCCUUGGUGACACGAGAAACAAAAGAGGGAUUAAAAAGUCACCGCGGGGCUGCUGCCCAGGCCAAGGGGUAACAACGGCUCCUCUCCAUCUCCGGGGGAUGCGGAGCAGCAUCAGGAGACAGGUUUGUCCCACAAACCCACCAUCAGGAGACAGGUUUGUCCCACAAAACCCUCUCCGGUGGCACGGAGGGAAAACACCUGGCACUUUGGGUUCCUGCGGUAACUCCCAGCAGCAGGACGGGGAGGAAAAGACUGGAAAAGCAAGGAUUCAGCCCAGGGACACACAGACGGGUCUGCUCAAGCCUCGGCAGCCUGGAGGAAGAAGUUGGGGAGCCUAAUUUAGGCUGCAUCACAUCCUGUGUUCCAAUGAACAGAAUACUCUCCUCCUAUGGAUUGAUGCAAUAAAAACAACUGCAAAAGAAUUUAUAAAAAAAAC
rnacentral:lncRNA from 1 species